ACCAAAAUCAACAUCCUUUAAUUUCAUUUUCCACGAACUUUUUAAAGUCCCCUCACAUUCCUUUUCCUUUUGUUGCUCUUGAUACUCGCAACAGUCCUGUGAGGUUGGCCUUAUUCCGAUGAUGAUGAUGAGCAAACUCAGAUGGCUUACAUGAUUUGCCCCAGAUCAGGACCCCACAUCUUAACGCCAUCACCUUGGCCACAGCUGAGCUUUGGAGGGACCCAUUCAAAUCAGCCCAGUUCUGCCUCUCCCAGUCUUACACACGCCAUGGCCCGUCCUAUUUCUCUCAGCUUAUCCAUACAAGGCAUGAGGCGCAUGAGGACUUACUGAGACCGCCGAGGCACUCAGACUGAGAGGGUUUGGGCCGGAGCCAUCUCAGCCGCACGGGGGCCAGUGUCCUUGCCUGGCCGUGCCGGCUUAGGCAGAGGGAGUGGUUCACAGCUCAUGGUUGGAGGAGCAGGCGACUGCAAGAGGAAGUCACAUUUCUGAGGCUUUACUCAGGCCAGAACAGCACAUAAAGUGAAGCCUCUGAGACCCCAGGGAGUAAAUGAGCCCCCUCCUGGCCAGCUGAACACCGCAAAUGGAAGUGGGAGGCAUGGUUCCUCGGAGGGAGGUCACCUUAAAAGAUGGACCAAUGUUCCCAGCACUGGAAGACCCUUUGCGACAUGGAACAGGCAAAAGGAGCCACCUGGAGAGAGUCAAAGUCUAUAAGAAUUUUUACAGUUGGCCAGACCUAUGAUCCAUCCCCCCAGGCCAGAAUUCUCUGAUAAUAAGAAUAAACAUGAAGGAGAUGGUGUUUGCUAUUGGCCAGAGCCUGUGCUUUUUGCGAAUCUUUUUUUUUUUUUAAGUUUCUCAAUAGAUUUAUGAAGUUGGAAGUGCUACCAAGAGUUUGUGUUUGCCCCUUCAGAUGAUGUCAAAAAUCAGACACAUACCCCUUGUCCCUCUCUCCUCAGCCUCCAAACUCCGCUCUUUUUCAGUAGCACAUUAUUGACCUGUAAGCCUCAGAAAUGCAGAGUUCUGUGCAUCAGACGACACGAGACAAAGAAAGUACACUGCUCUCCUGCAAGGUGGGCUGGGCCUUGGACAGCGCACGUGACCACUCGGGACCCAAUCUGCUCUCCUGCAGAAUGAGGCUCGGCUGCACUAGACUGCUGGUUCUCAACCCUGGAGAGUUUUGAAAAACACUAUUUAAUAUCUUAUGGAAACAUACAAACUUUCAACAUAUGAGUGCAUACAUGUAAAAGAAUGGUGAAAAUGGAAUAAGUUCUCUGGUCCAGUUUACAACAUUGUGCCAAGAGCAAC